rnacentral:rRNA from 1 species
CUCCAAGAUAAGGUCUCCCACCGGGUUAACCGGGUAAGGGCCCUGGUAGACAACCAGGUUGAUAGGCCGGAGGUGUAAGAGAAGCAAUUCUUUGAGCUGACCGGUACUAAUAGCCCGAGGGCUUGUUCACCUAUAAC